CCUACGGGCGGCAGCAGUGGGGGAUAUUGCACAAUGGGGGAAACCCUGAUGCAGCGACGCCGCGUGGGCGAAGAAGUAUUUCGGUAUGUAAAGCCCUAUCAGCAGGGAAGAAGAAAUGACGGUACCUGAGUAAGAAGCACCGGCAAAAUACGUGCCAGCAGCCGCGGUAAUACGUAUGGUGCAAGCGUUAUCCGGAUUUACUGGGUGUAAAGGGAGCGCAGGCGGCACGGCAAGCCUGAUGUGAAAGCACGGGGCCCAACCGCGGGACUGCAUUGGGAACUGCCGGGCUGGAGUGCCGGAGAGGUAGGCGGAAUUCCUAGUGUAGCGGUGAAAUGCGUAGAUAUUAGGAGGAACACCAGUGGCGAAGGCGGCCUGCUGGACGGUGACUGACGCGGAGGCUCGAAAGCGUGGGGAGCAAACAGGAUUAGAUACCCCUGUAGUC
rnacentral:rRNA from 1 species